rnacentral:rRNA from 1 species
UGAGGAACAUGACCUUCGGCGGGGGAUAGCCGGCCCAACGGCCGGGUAAUACCGCGUACGACCACAUGGGGACAUCCCUGAGUGGUGAAAGCAGCAAUGCGCCGAUGGAGUGCCUCGCGGCCUAUCAGCUAGUUGGUGAGGUAACGGCUCACCAAGGCGACGGACGGGUAGCUGGUCUGGUGAGGAUGGCCAGCCACAUUGGGACUGAGAUACCGGCCCAGACCUCUAACGGGG